CAAGUAGAUCGCCUUAUCGAUUCUAAAUUUAUUUAGGGUAGGAAAGUCCGAACACCAUAGUGCAAUCAUAGUGGCUAACAGCCAUCCAUCGAAAGGUGAGGAAAAGUGCAACAGAAAGUAUGUACAGGUAAUGCUGUAGUGAAACCAGGUAAACUCUAUGUGGUGCAAUGUCAUGUAAACUAGUGUUUGAGCGUGCACGCGCGAUGCUAGAGGGUAGGCAGCUAAAGUUUGCUGGUAACAGUAAACGCAGAUAAAUGAUAAGGGCUUUUUUUUUUAAGAAUAUAAUUCUUAAAAAAGAAAAGUACAGAAUUCGGCUUAUAGAUUUACUUUACUA
rnacentral:RNase_P_RNA from 1 species